rnacentral:rRNA from 1 species
UACGUAGGGGGCGAGCGUUGUCCGGAAUUAUUGGGCGUAAAGAGCUCGUAGGCGGUGUGUCGCGUCGGCCGUGAAAACCUGCAGCUUAACUGUGGGCUUGCGGUCGAUACGGGCAUCACUGGAGUUCGGCAGGGGAGACUGGAAUUCCUGGUGUAGCGGUGAAAUGCGUAGAUAUCUGGAGGAACACCGGUGGCGAAGGCGGCAUCCUGGACCAAUACUGACGCUGAGGAGCGAAAGCCAGGGGAGCAAACGGG